ACACACACACACACACACACACACACACACACACACACACACACACACACACACACACACACACACGCGCAUCAGGGUUACAGCACUGUGUCGCACUUUAACAUAGUCCACUACGACUGUCACCUCGCAGCCGUCAGGUUAGUACGCGCACGCACACACACACACACACACACACACACACACACACACACACACACACACACGCGCAUCAGGGUUACAGCACUGUGUCGCACUUUAACAUAGUCCACUACGACUGUCACCUCGCAGCCGUCAGGUUAGUACGCGCACACACACACACACACACACACACACA